rnacentral:rRNA from 1 species
UACGUAGGUGGCAAGCGUUGUCCGGAAUUAUUGGGCGUAAAGGGUGCGUAGGCGGGUCUUUAAGUCAGGGGUGAAAUCCUGGAGCUCAACUCCAGAACUGCCUUUGAUACUGAGGAUCUUGAGUUCGGGAGAGGUGAGUGGAACUGCGAGUGUAGAGGUGAAAUUCGUAGAUAUUCGCAAGAACACCAGUGGCGAAGGCGGCUCGCUGGCCCGAUACUGACGCUGAGGCACGAAAGCGUGGGGAGCAAACAGG